UAAAGCGAUACGAACGAGUUACGAGAUGAAAUCCGCAAUGUUCAAAAACGCGAUUCAUAUCACACAUACUUUGAUCUCGUUUUCAUAUCGCUAGUUCGUAUUUGGAUGGCUUGAGUGAAAUGAAUGAAACUAUAUUUUUUUAAUUGCCAUGCAAAAAUAAUAAAUACUACCACUAAUUGUUUUAAAUAAUUUUGUUCCUACAAUAUAUUUUGUUGGAAUUAGUGACGAUAGCAAGUAUCAAGAAACGGCUUUUUAAUUCAACGUUGAAGAAAUUCAUAACUUGUGGCACUUUUGACAGCCGCCAUGGUUUCUACAUAAAAACAAACAUAACAAACAUUGAUUUUCUUUGCUCAUUUUCGUGUCAACGUAGUUUUUUUGGAAAAUAAGAAGAAAGGAAGUUUAACUAACUUAGAGAAAUACGACUGAGACAUAAUCAUGAACGAGAUGAACACAAGCAGCAGCCGAUGUGCUUGAGUUGCAGAAGGAGCAACUGCGUUGUGAGAGGGCCACGGCUUCAGCCCUCACAAUGAUAGCUGAAGCAAUGAACAGACAGGCUGCAGGCAAUGACAGGCUUCUUGAGCAGGGGCUCCUCAUAUGGAAAAAGGCUAAUGAAAGGAACAAUCAAGACCAGACUUAAAGUAAAGAUUUUAGCGGCGACGCAGUUGCGCGACCAGUGAAGCUCUGGCUCCGCGACCGGCGUGGAGCGCGCGGUCCGAGCGGCGCUGCUGCGGCUGCUGCGCGGGCGGAUCCCGUCCCUGCGCAUGCACCUGGCCUUCAAUGGCCUCACGCCUCUCUUCUUCCUCUUCUUCAUGCGUCAAUUCAAACAGAGGAGCACCUGUGAUUACUGAUUACCUAAGUUCCUAUAUACAAUAAUAGUUUAAUAAUUGUUUACAAAAUAUUGUAUACAUACAUAAGUAUUAAUAAUUAUACAAAAGGCUAAAAGCAUUUUGUACCAGCCAACCUAUAGGAGAGAAUAUGAGAAAAAUAAUAAGACUUUAAUCUUUGAUUGCCAUUAUCUGUAGCUUUAUUAAGUGGUAAAGGGACCUAAUUACUACCUAUAUUUUUUAGUUUUUGUGAUAAUUCAUAGAAUUUAUUAGUUCUAUCAAUAAAUAAAAUAUACAUGCAUUACAAUGUGUUUAAUUCAUUAACUUACAAUUUGCACACUGAGGGAA